GGGUUGUGAGGUUAAGCGACUAAGCGUACACGGUGGAUGCCCUGGCAGUCAGAGGCGAUGAAGGGCGUGCUAAUCUGCGAUAAGCGCCGGUAAGGUGAUAUGAACCGUUAUAACCGGCGAUACCCGAAUGGGGAAACCCAGUGUGAUUCGUCACACUAUCAUUAACUGAAUCCAUAGGUUAAUGAGGCGAACCGGGGGAACUGAAACAUCUAAGUACCCCGAGGAAAAGAAAUCAACCGAGAUUCCCCCAGUAGCGGCGAGCGAACGGGGAGGAGCCCAGAGCCUGAAUCAGCAUGUGUGUUAGUGGAAGCGUCUGGAAAGGCGCGCGAUACAGGGUGACAGCCCCGUACACAAAAGCGCAUGUGCUGUGAGCUCGAUGAGUAGGGCGGGACACGUGGUAUCCUGUCUGAAUAUGGGGGGACCAUCCUCCAAGGCUAAAUACUCCUGACUGACCGAUAGUGAACCAGUACCGUGAGGGAAAGGCGAAAAGAACCCCGGCGAGGGGAGUGAAAAAGAACCUGAAACCGUGUACGUACAAGCAGUGGGAGCACAGGUUUACCUGUGUGACUGCGUACCUUUUGUAUAAUGGGUCAGCGACUUAUAUUCUGUAGCAAGGUUAACCGUAUAGGGGAGCCGUAGGGAAACCGAGUCUUAACCGGGCGUUAAGUUGCAGGGUAUAGACCCGAAACCCGGUGAUCUAGCCAUGGGCAGGUUGAAGGUUGGGUAACACUAACUGGAGGACCGAACCGACUAAUGUUGAAAAAUUAGCGGAUGACCUGUGGCUGGGGGUGAAAGGCCAAUCAAACCGGGAGAUAGCUGGUUCUCCCCGAAAGCUAUUUAGGUAGCGCCUCGUGAAUUCAUCUCCGGGGGUAGAGCACUGUUUCGGCUAGGGGGUCAUCCCGACUUACCAACCCGAUGCAAACUGCGAAUACCGGAGAAUGUUAUCACGGGAGACACACGGCGGGUGCUAACGUCCGUCGUGAAGAGGGAAACAACCCAGACCGCCAGCUAAGGUCCCAAAGUCAUGGUUAAGUGGGAAACGAUGUGGGAAGGCCCAGACAGCCAGGAUGUUGGCUUAGAAGCAGCCAUCAUUUAAAGAAAGCGUAAUAGCUCACUGGUCGAGUCGGCCUGCGCGGAAGAUGUAACGGGGCUAAACCAUGCACCGAAGCUGCGGCAGCGACGCUUAUGCGUUGUUGGGUAGGGGAGCGUUCUGUAAGCCUGCGAAGGUGGCCUGUGAGGGUUGCUGGAGGUAUCAGAAGUGCGAAUGCUGACAUAAGUAACGAUAAAGCGGGUGAAAAGCCCGCUCGCCGGAAGACCAAGGGUUCCUGUCCAACGUUAAUCGGGGCAGGGUGAGUCGACCCCUAAGGCGAGGCCGAAAGGCGUAGUCGAUGGGAAACGGGUUAAUAUUCCCGUACUUGGUGUUACUGCGAAGGGGGGACGGAGAAGGCUAUGUUGGCCGGGCGACGGUUGUCCCGGUUUAAGCGUGUAGGUGUGUGUUCCAGGUAAAUCCGGUUCACUUUAACACUGAGGCGUGACGACGAGGCACUACGGUGCUGAAGCAACAAAUGCCCUGCUUCCAGGAAAAGCCUCUAAGCAUCAGGUAACAUCAAAUCGUACCCCAAACCGACACAGGUGGUCAGGUAGAGAAUACCAAGGCGCUUGAGAGAACUCGGGUGAAGGAACUAGGCAAAAUGGUGCCGUAACUUCGGGAGAAGGCACGCUGACACGUAGGUGAAGUGAUUUACUCAUGGAGCUGAAGUCAGUCGAAGAUACCAGCUGGCUGCAACUGUUUAUUAAAAACACAGCACUGUGCAAACACGAAAGUGGACGUAUACGGUGUGACGCCUGCCCGGUGCCGGAAGGUUAAUUGAUGGGGUCAGCGCAAGCGAAGCUCCUGAUCGAAGCCCCGGUAAACGGCGGCCGUAACUAUAACGGUCCUAAGGUAGCGAAAUUCCUUGUCGGGUAAGUUCCGACCUGCACGAAUGGCGUAAUGAUGGCCAGGCUGUCUCCACCCGAGACUCAGUGAAAUUGAACUCGCUGUGAAGAUGCAGUGUACCCGCGGCAAGACGGAAAGACCCCGUGAACCUUUACUAUAGCUUGACACUGAACAUUGAGCCUUGAUGUGUAGGAUAGGUGGGAGGCUUUGAAGCGUGGACGCCAGUCUGCGUGGAGCCGACCUUGAAAUACCACCCUUUAAUGUUUGAUGUUCUAACGUGGACCCGUAAUCCGGGUUGCGGACAGUGUCUGGUGGGUAGUUUGACUGGGGCGGUCUCCUCCUAAAGAGUAACGGAGGAGCACGAAGGUUGGCUAAUCCUGGUCGGACAUCAGGAGGUUAGUGCAAUGGCAUAAGCCAGCUUGACUGCGAGCGUGACGGCGCGAGCAGGUGCGAAAGCAGGUCAUAGUGAUCCGGUGGUUCUGAAUGGAAGGGCCAUCGCUCAACGGAUAAAAGGUACUCCGGGGAUAACAGGCUGAUACCGCCCAAGAGUUCAUAUCGACGGCGGUGUUUGGCACCUCGAUGUCGGCUCAUCACAUCCUGGGGCUGAAGUAGGUCCCAAGGGUAUGGCUGUUCGCCAUUUAAAGUGGUACGCGAGCUGGGUUUAGAACGUCGUGAGACAGUUCGGUCCCUAUCUGCCGUGGGCGCUGGAGAACUGAGGGGGGCUGCUCCUAGUACGAGAGGACCGGAGUGGACGCAUCACUGGUGUUCGGGUUGUCAUGCCAAUGGCACUGCCCGGUAGCUAAAUGCGGAAGAGAUAAGUGCUGAAAGCAUCUAAGCACGAAACUUGCCCCGAGAUGAGUUCUCCCUGAGACUUAGAGUCUCCUGAAGGAACGUUGAAGACGACGACGUUGAUAGGCCGGGUGUGUAAGCGCAGCGAUGCGUUGAGCUAACCGGUACUAAUGAACCGUGAGGCUUAACCUUACAACGCCGAAG
rnacentral:rRNA from 1 species